rnacentral:rRNA from 1 species
CAGUAGCCGCGGUAAUACGGAGGGUGCAAGCGUUAAUCGGAAUUACUGGGCGUAAAGCGCACGCAGGCGGUCUGUCAAGUCAGAUGUGAAAUCCCCGGGCUUAACCUGGGAACUGCAUUUGAAACUGGCAGGCUAGAGUCUUGUAGAGGGGGGUAGAAUUCCAGGUGUAGCGGUGAAAUGCGUAGAGAUCUGGAGGAAUACCGGUGGCGAAGGCGGCCCCCUGGACAAAGACUGACGCUCAGGUGCGAAAGCGUGGGGAGCAAACAGGAUUAGAUACCCAGUAGUCCCUGUCUCUUAUACA